GUUGUUUUGUUCAGUUGAGUGCUGUUAGCAACAGGCCUGGAGGCCAAACUACCAAAACCCUUAUGGCUGGGAAAUAGGCAGUCAUCUGGCAAAGGCCUAAGAAUACGUGCAAUUUUUACCAUUGGUUGCAUCUGCUCGGUCUGGAAGCAGGCUGUCUCAUGUGAUGAGAAUGGAGGAAUCUGGGCACAUCAGCUUCUGGCGUGGAAGCAGCUGGCGGGUUUUCAAAUAUAUGGACGUCUUUCCAGUUUUCGAAGAAGCUGUGUGUGGGUUGGAAGGAAAGCAGGCUGCCUCUGACUGAUAGAUGAGCUUCAGAAAUUCUGCCCUUGUUUUUAGAUAUUUUCAAAUAUUUGGAGAGCAAAAAUAAAUGAC
rnacentral:lncRNA from 12 species